rnacentral:lncRNA from 1 species
UAUCUGUCAUCAAAACCACAAGGGACCUGGACCACUUCACAUUUGGUUGUUGAAUGAAGCUGUUCUUCGGUUACUAGAACUGCUGCACGACAGCUGAUCAGCUGUACAAUCAACUGAUAGAACCAGGAACAAUCACACGAUAGCAUAAAAUUCAUGAUUUCUUCACAGAGUUCAUCAAUACUUGUUGGGGCUGAGGAGUCAGUUAGCCAGGACUGCCUCGCCUGGAAAUAAAUUCAUGAAGUUAUGCUGCAUUUGAGGUCAAAAAGAAUAAUACUCUGGAAAAUCCUGGGCACCUCUAUCAAUGGCCUGGCUAGAGAGGCCUGGGAGAAGGUCCUGACUGGAAGGUGUCAAGGUUGAGCAGACAGGCCUGGUCCUUUCUUGGUAUGGAGGCUUUCGUUCAAAAGGACUGGAACUU